GUGGCUCGUCAUGGGAAAAAUCAUAUGACAAAUCAUAUGAUAAAUCAUGUAGUGUAAAGUCGACUUAACUCUUGUAUUUUUAAUUUGACGAAGAAAAGUUAUUCUUCAUAAAAAUCUCUUCUUGGUCUAAGAUUUAUGAUGCAACCAUUAUGAAUUAAAUUUUAUUAAUUUUAUACGAGGCUGACCAACUGUGAAAUUUCGUAGAAACCGACUAUCAUUUCGCUUACGUAGCGUCAUGUCUCUGUGGUGUGGCGUAUAGAGCGUUUUCUUGCUAUGCAGGCGACCCGGGUUCAAAUCCUACUAAG